rnacentral:rRNA from 1 species
ACCAGACUCCUACGGGAGGCAGCAGUGGGGAAUAUUGCACAAUGGGGGGAACCCUGAUGCAGCGACGCCGCGUGGGUGAAGGAGCACCUCGGUGCGUAAAGCCCUAUCGGCAGGGGAGAAAAGCGAACAGGUUCGCCUGGACGGUACCUGACUAAGAAGCCCCGGCUAACUACGUGCCAGCAGCCGCGGUAAUACGUAGGGGGCAAGCGUUAUCCGGAUUCACUGGGUGUAAAGGGAGCGUAGACGGCGAUGCAAGUCUGAAGUGAAAGGCGGGGGCCCAACCCCCGGACUGCUUUGGAAACUGUAUAGCUGGAGUGCAGGAGAGGUAAGUGGAAUUCCUAGUGUAGCGGUGAAAUGCGUAGAUAUUAGGAGGAACACCAGUGGCGAAGGCGGCUUACUGGACUGUAACUGACGUUGAGGCUCGAAAGCGUGGGGAGCAAACAGGAUUAGAUACCCCAGUA